UAUUAUAUAAGGACAUGGCUCCAUUAUGACAGGCUCCGCCAUCAUGCAUGAUAGCGGAGCUUCAAAUUAAGACAAGAGAUAUCAUUGGAUGAAAUGGUCGCGGAUGUGGAGGUACUGGUGGACUACGGCAAUGAGCUUAACCCAUGUUAAGCAACCCCAACUGCAGCAACCGUUGCCAAGCAACCCAUGUUGCUUACCAAUGCAGCGCCUGCUGCCCUGCAACUACCGUUGCCAAGCAACCCAUGUUGCUUAACAAUGCAGCGCCCGCUGCCCUGCAACUACCGUUGCCAAGCAACCCCCCAUGUUGCUAUGCAGCUAUCGCUGCCAGGCAAGUACCAUUGCCAAACCAUGAGCGAGGGCAACUAUUGUUGCCAAGCUGACCAUCCGCUGUAAAGCGGACACUAAGCCAUCUGCUGUAAAGCAGAAUGGAUAAAUUGGUUCCUGCUGUAAAGCGGGUAACCCUAUCCUAAAUAAUUUAUAAUUUGGGAUGUAUCCCAAGACGCCAAAUGUAACUUGUAAUGCAGUCCACCAGCACCCCGCCCAUCCGCAACAUUUUAUUCAUGACAACAUCAUUAUAUACAAACAUUAUGCUCCAGUAAAAUUCCACCAAUUGACAACUGCAAAGCUUGAAUAACUUGGAAUUAAGGAUAACAGGGUGGGUGCAACGAACUAUAGAUGGAUGCGCGAAUAUAACUAUGUGUUGUACGGCUGAAAGCUGGAGAGCAAGUGCUGCGUGAGCUGAUGUCACGCUACAACAGGUCAUAGAAAAUAUAAACAAACGCUCCUUUAUCGGACGUGCCAAGAGCGGAUCUAGGCCAGAGACGAUGGCACCAUGCAAAACGGCACGUAGCCGCACGGAAUGAAGGCGAGUAACUCUCUGUCACACUCCGGCAUAGACUUGCAUAAGUCAUAAGGAUGCAUCAGAGCCCCAGAGGAGGUGGAAAAGAAAUGGCAUAACAUCCAAAGUAAAGCCAGGGGAGAAAUUGCACGGUGCAAGCAAGGUGUUAUCAGCACAGAUGGUGAUCCAUCACCAUGCCCUACUUUGACUGCCACAUCAGAGGUAGUGUGGUAUAUUCUGGGGCAGAAUAAUGUAUCCAUAUCUGGAAUACCAUCAGCUAUGGACACAUCCCUCCUACAGGUGGUCAGCCUUUCUGACACAGUUAAUGCAAGUGAAUACAGUGACAUGGCAGCACUCGACUUGCAGACACUCCAGGCCAUGGGAGGAGCUGUCCCUACUGCAUCAACAGUGUCUGUGCCUUCUCAGCCUGAACCAUCAGUGCCAGAUACCGCCUCCUCAGCCGGAACCAUCAGUGCCAGAUACCGCCUCCUCAGCAAAGGGAUCCAUGAAGAGACCAGCAGGAUGGAGCACUGUCCAGGAGCCAAAGUCCUCGAGACAAACAUUCCUGUUGGGGGAAAGUUAUGAUGAGCUACUCUACAAAGAACUUAAACUUGAAACUGAAUGUUUAAGUCUUAAGAAGAAAAUUAUAUAGU